UGGGGAAUUUUGGACAAUGGGGGCAACCCUGAUCCAGCCAUGCCGCGUGAGUGAAGAAGGCCUUCGGGUUGUAAAGCUCUUUCGGCCGGGAAGAAAUCGCGUUGGCUAAUACCCAGCGUGGAUGACGGUACCGGAAUAAGAAGCACCGGCUAACUACGUGCCAGCAGCCGCGGUAAUACGUAGGGUGCGAGCGUUAAUCGGAAUUACUGGGCGUAAAGCGUGCGCAGGCGGUUUUUUAAGAUAGGCGUGAAAUCCCCGGGCUCAACCUGGGAACUGCGCUUAUGACUGGAAGACUAGAGUAUGGCAGAGGGGGGUGGAAUUCCACGUGUAGCAGUGAAAUGCGUAGAGAUGUGGAGGAACACCGAUGGCGAAGGCAGCCCCCUGGGCCAAUACUGACGCUCAUGCACGAAAGCGUGGGGAGCAAACAGG
rnacentral:rRNA from 1 species